AGAGUUUGAUCAUGGCUCAGGAUGAACGCUAGCUACAGGCUUAACACAUGCAAGUCGAGGGGCAGCAUGGUCUUAGCUUGCUAAGGCCGAUGGCGACCGGCGCACGGGUGAGUAACGCGUAUCCAACCUGCCUUACACUCUUGGACAGCCUUCUGAAAGGGAGAUUAAUACAAGAUGUUAUCAUGAGUAAGCAUUUUCGCAUGAUUAAAGGUUUACCGUGUAAGAUGGGGAUGCGUUCCAUUAGAUAGUAGGCGGGGUAACGGCCACCUAGUCUUCGAUGGAUAGGGGGUUCUGAGAGGAAGGUCCCCCCANAUUGGAACUGAGACACGGUCCAAACUCCUACGGGAGGCA
rnacentral:rRNA from 1 species